GAACAAGUCACACAAAGCAACGGAACCUUCAUUUAGAGCUGUAUUUUUUAAUACGUAUUUUUUAGAUGUUAAGACACUUCAACUUGCUACUUCUAAAUUGUGCAUUUGUUUUUUUGUUGAAGGAUCAGGCUGCUCCAUGUAACACUUAUUGAUUAACUGGACAUUUUCAGUCAGUUCACUAGUUUUAGUUGCUCAUAAGUCACAUGAUUUUACAAUUAGUUGUAAAAUAUACAAAGUUUAAUCAUCUUGACAUACCACAGACAAUUCCCUGAUUUUUCAGAAGAUGAGAGAAACCUUUCAGCACCGUCAGACGCUUGUUAAUGACCCAAGCAGAGGUGUUGAGAUCCUCUCCACCUUCCCAAGAUUCCUGGAUACCAAAGGAUUGGUGGAUCAAGACCUCCUCGCUGUUGGGCUUCAGAAGAGCAAGAUUGACAGCUUCUACAUCACCAUGGAUAAGCAUCUCAUCCCACGCCAGGCAAACCGCUCCCUGCCUUGGGGCUUUCGACAAACUUUCCAAAACCCAUUUUGUGUUUAAUUUGUCGUACGAUGCUGCGUUACUGAAUUUUUACACAUUCUUGCAGACAACAGUGUAUAACAGUGAUGUGGGGAAAAUGAAGGAGUCACCCAGAGUCAGAGACUUGAGAGCCAGACUGCUUGACCAGCUAGUACCGGUCUCACUCUCUGAGUAAGAGGCUGAAACAAUACUGACCGGUUUCAUGUGUCAGAAUUUGUAUCCCAGCAGCCAGAAGUUGAUGGUGUUAUACUGGAACCGUAGAUAAAUGAUAUAAAAUUACUGAAAACCCAAGGCCUUAGUCUUAGUAGUGUUUGAUUGAGAGGAAUGAUUCUCAAACAGUAUACAGUGAGGAAGAUCCCAAAGUGAUCCUUCGUGGAAGAAAUAUGUUUGAUAUGCAUUACAAAUGUCUCCAAGACAACCCACCAUUGAACUCCUUGUAUGGUUUGAAAGAGACUUCUACACUUAACUCAUUGAAUUAUUUCCAUGUUUGAA
rnacentral:lncRNA from 1 species